GAUGAAGAACGUAGCGAAAUGCGAUAAGUAAUGUGAAUUGCAGAAUUCAGUGAAUCAUCGAAUCUUUGAACGCACAUUGCGCCCGCCAGUAUUCUGGCGGGCAUGCCUGUUCGAGCGUCAUUUCAACCAUCAAGCCCCAGGCUUGUGUUGGGGACCUGCGGCUGCCGCAGGCCCUGAAAACCAGUGGCGGGCUCGCUGUCACACCGGGCGUAGUAGAUUUUAUCUCGCUCAGGGCGUGCUGCGGGUUCCGGCCGUUAAACACCCCCUUUUUACCAAGGUUGACCUCGGAUCAGGUAGGAAUACCCGCUGAACUUAAGCAUAUCAAUAAGCGGAGGA
rnacentral:misc_RNA from 1 species